CACUACUUAUGUGGAGGAGGAGAAGAAAGAGUUAGCCAAGGAAAUGCAUAGGCUUGCAUGAGUAGGAGUUCGUCUUAUGGAUUCCGUUGAGGGAGGAGUAAUUGUUUGAAAUAGGGCUGAGCUUUAUUGGUUGUUGAGGUAAAAGAAAAGUAAGAUCAAGAUUUUAUUCUCCUCUAAUUGAAAAAUAAUGUCCAUAAGCAGAAAGUGAUGGCUUUCACCAAAUGGGGAGAUGGAGUGUUGAGAUAUCAAGGUUGGUUAUGUGUUUCUAGUGUUGAUGGUCUUCGAGACAGAAUUAUGGAAGAGGCUCAUAGCUCCAGAUAUUCAAUUAAUUCGGAUUCUACAAAGAUGUACCAUUACUUUAGAGAGCUCUAUUAGAUGAAUGGUAUGAGGAAAAACAUAAUAGAGUUUUCAUCUAAGUGCCGCACGAAUUGCGAAUAAUUAAGAGUUGAGCAUCAAAGGCCUUAUGGUGUAGCUUAUAAUACAGUGUUGCCAAAAUAGAAGUGGGAGAUGAUCAACAUGGAUUUCAUUAUAAAUUUACCCCAAUCUCGCAGACAACAUGAUUUGAUUUAGGUGAUUGUGGAUAGAAUGAAAACAUUAGCCCAUUUCUUACCUAUUAAGACUAUGGAUUCAACAGAGUAUUAUCCAAGGUUGUAUAUUCGAGAGAGAGUCAGAUUUCAUAAAGUUUUCUUGUCCAUCAUCUCAGAUAGAGGGACCCAAUUCACUUCAUAAUUUUGGAAGUCUAUCCCUAAAGGUUUGGAUUGAAAGACAAAUCUUAGCACCGCCUUCAAUCGACAAAGAGAUGGUCAAGAAGAGCAUACUAUUCAGACCCUUGAAGAUAUGUUGAGAGCAUGUGUUAUCGAUUUCAAAGGUAAUUAGGAUGAACAUUUGCCGCAAAUUGAAUUUUCUUACAACAAUAGCUUUUAUUCGAGCAUCCAAAUGACUUCAUAUAAAGCUCUUUAUAAGAUGAGAUGUAUAUCACCAAUUUGUUGAUUUGAAGUGGGAAAACUUGAGUUGAUAGGGCCAAACUUAGUUCAUCAAGCAAUGGAGAAAGAGAAGAUUAUUCAAGAAAGGAUAAAGUCUGCCAAAGUCAUAGCCAAUGCUUCUAGACAAUUAAAGGUGCAUGAGCAUAACUACCCUACUCAUGACCUUGAAUUGGCGGCCGUUGUUUUUUCUCUGAAGAUUUAGAGGCAUUACCUCUAUGGGGUGCGUAUGGAUGUGUAUACCGAUCAUAAAAGUCUUCAAUAUGUGUUCACCUAAAAAGACCUUAAUCUAAGACAAAGGAGGUGGCUAAAACUCCUUAAGGACUAUGAUAUGAGUAUGCACUAUCAUCUGAGUAAAGCCAAUGUGGUUGCCGAUGUACUUAGUUGAGUGUCUAUAGAGAGUGUGGACCAUGUGGAUGAAGGGAAGAGGGAGUUGGUAAAAUAUGUUCACUAGUUGGCUAGAUUAGGGGUGAAUUUGUGUGGUACUGAUGAUGAUGGUAUGGUUGUUCAAAAUAGGUCUGAAUCCUCUUUCGUGGUGAAUGUUAAAUCAAAGAAAGAUCUUGACCUGAUGUUUAUCGAGUUAAAGAAGUUGGUGAAGGAAAAGAAGAUAGAGGUGUUUUCCCAAGGGAGAGAUGAGGUGCUAUACUACCAAGAUCGGCUAUGUGUUCCAUAUGUUGAUGGCCUAAGGAGUUUGAUCUUGAUGGAGACUCAUAAUUCUACAUACUACAUUCAUCCCAGUUCAACGAAAAUGUACCGAGACUUAAAAGAGUUCUAUUGGUGGGGUAGCAUGAAGAAGGAUAUAACAAGGUUUAUGUCUGAAUGUCCAAAUUUCCAAUAAAUGAAGGCUGAACAUCAAAGGUCGGGUGUCCUAGCCCAAGACAUUGAAAUCCCUACUUGGAAGUGGGAAGAUAUGAAUAUGGAUUUUUAGUGGGUUUGCCUCAUACCCAGAAGCGUCACUAUUCGAUUUAGGUAAUUAUUGUUAGAAUGACUAAGUCAGCUCACUUCCUACUGAUUAAAACUUCCUAUAAUGCCGAAGACUAUGCCAAGUUGUUUAUUCGAGAGUUGGUGAGGUUGCAUGGUGUGCCGCUAUCCUUUAUCUUGGAUCGUGGUACCCAAUUCACUUCUCACUUUUGGAGAUCAUUUCAAAAGGGCCUCGGUACUAAGGUAAAAUUAAGCACUACAUUCCAUUCUCAAACAGAUGGGCAAGACGAAAGGACAAUUCAAAUACUAGAGGAUAUGUUAAAGGCUUGUAUGUUGGAGUUUGAAGGAAAUUGGGAUGAUCAUCUACCACUCAUCAAGUUUUCCUAUAAUAAUAGUUACACUGAAGUAUUGAGAUGGAGCCGUUUGAGGCCUUUUAUGGGAGACGAUAUAGAUCUCCGAUUGGUGUGUUCGAAGUAGGUGAGAUGACGUUGUUGGGCCCUGAUUUGGUACUUGAUGCUUUAGAGAAGGUGAAUAUCAUUAGAGAAAGGUUGAAUAUGGCUCAUAGUCAUCAAAAGUCCUAUUCCGACCUACAAGAAAGGAUCUUGAGUUUAAUGUGGAUGAUUGGGUAUAUCUGAAGGUUUCACCCAUGAAGGGUGUUUUUCGAUUUGGUAAGAAAGGAAAAUUGAGCCCUAGGUAUGUAGGGCCUUAUAAAAUCGUGAGACGUGUUGACAAGGUUGCAUAUGAGUUGGAGUUGCCAUUGAAAAUUGUCAUGGUUCAUCCGGUGUUCCAUGUGUCUACGUUGAGAAAAUGUGUGGGUGAUCCUAGUUCCAUUGAUCCAUUGAGAGUAGUGAAUGUUGAAGAAAACUUGACCUAUGAAGAAGUUACGGUUGAAAUUUUUGACCAGCAAGUAAAGAGAUUGAGGAACAAAGAAGUUGCAUCUGUUAAAGUCCUUUGAAAGAAUCAACAAAUUGAAAGUGCUACAUGGGAAGCGGAAGCAGCUAUGAUUAAGAGAUACCCUCAUCUUUUUUCCUCUACCCAAACCUAAGACUAUCACAUGCUUUGUCUGGAGGGGCGUCACUCUAGGUUCUAGGCUAGCGCGGCUCGCUUCGCUCUUCAAGCUCGGCCCCCCUUACUCAAGCAUAAUCUUUUGCCUAUAUGAUAUCACCAUGUAGAGACCGGUGCUCCUCCUUAUUCUCCUCCACGUGGCUAGUUGAGAUUUUCUUUGAAGACUACUUUUGGUACAGAUGUUUAUUCUGGAGAUCCAUCAGCGUAGGAGUUCCUCUCAGCUGUGUCGGAAGUGCUUCACUGUUCUGGAGCCUAAAUUUUGAUGUUGGUCACUUAAUGUAU